rnacentral:rRNA from 1 species
UGGGUUAGUCGGGUCCUAAGCUGAGGCCGACAGGCGUAGGCGAUGGAUAACAGGUUGAUAUUCCUGUACCACCUAUAAUCGUUUUAAUCGAUGGGGGGACGCAGUAGGAUAGGCGAAGCGUGCGAUUGGAUUGCACGUCUAAGCAGUAAGGCUGAGUAUUAGGCAAAUCCGGUACUCGUUAAGGCUGAGCUGUGAUGGGGAGAAGACAUUGUGUCUUCGAGUCGUUGAUUUCACACUGCCGAGAAAAGCCUCUAGAUAGAAAAUAGGUGCCCGUACCGCAAACCGACACAGGUAGUCAAGAUGAGAAUUCUAAGGUGAGCGAGCGAACUCUCGUUAAGGAACUCGGCAAAAUGACCCCGUAACUUCGGGAGAAGGGGUGCUCUUUAGGGUUAACGCCCAGAAGAGCCGCAGUGAAUAGGCCCAAGCGACUGUUUAUCAAAAACACAGGUCUCUGCUAAACCGUAAGGUGAUGUAUAGGGGCUGACGCCUGCCCGGUGCUGGAAGGUUAAGAGGAGUGGUUAGCUUCUGCGAAGCUACGAAUCGAAGCCCCAGUAAACGGCGGCCGUAACUAUAACGGUCCUAAGGUAGCGAAAUUCCUUGUCGGGUAAGUUCCGACCCGCACGAAAGGCGUAACGAUUUGGGCACUGUCUCAACGAGAGACUCGGUGAAAUCAUAGUACCUGUGAAGAUGCAGGUUACCCGCGACAGGACGGAAAGACCCCGUGGAGCUUUACUGUAGCCUGAUAUUGAAAUUCGGCACAGCUUGUACAGGAUAGGUAGGAGCCUUUGAAACGUGAGCGCUAGCUUACGUGGAGGCGCUGGUGGGAUACUACCCUAGCUGUGUUGGCUUUCUAACCCGCACCACUUAUCGUGGUGGGAGGCAGUGUCAGGCGGGCAGUUUGACUGGGGCGGUCGCCUCCUAAAAGGUAACGGAGGCGCUCAAAGGUUCCCUCAGAAUGGUUGGAAAUCAUUCAUAGAGUGUAAAGGCAUAAGGGAGCUUGACUGCGAGACCUACAAGUCGAGCAGGGUCGAAAGACGGACUUAGUGAUCCGGUGGUUCCGCAUGGAAGGGCCAUCGCUCAACGGAUAAAAGCUACCCCGGGGAUAACAGGCUUAUCUCCCCCAAGAGUUCACAUCGACGGGGAGGUUUGGCACCUCGAUGUCGGCUCAUCGCAUCCUGGGGCUGUAGUCGGUCCCAAGGGUUGGGCUGUUCGCCCAUUAAAGCGGUACGCGAGCUGGGUUCAGAACGUCGUGAGACAGUUCGGUCCCUAUCCGUCGUGGGCGUAGGAAAUUUGAGAGGAGCUGUCCUUAGUACGAGAGGACCGGGAUGGACAUACCUCUGGUGUACCAGUUGUCGUGCCAACGGCAUAGCUGGGUAGCUAUGUGUGGACGGGAUAAGUGCUGAAAGCAUCUAAGCAUGAAGCCCCCCUCAAGAUGAGAUUUCCCAACUUCGGUUAUAAGAUCCCUCAAAGAUGAUGAGGUUAAUAGGUUCGAGGUGGAAGCAUGGUGACAUGUGGAGCUGACGAAUACUAAUCGAUCGAAGACUUAAUCAA